AAAAAACAAAACGAAACAAAAAAUGUGAUAUCGGCCGUUCGCUGACCUGCUUCCUCAUCAUCUGCAUCUGAGACCUACUCACUCUGAGAGACAGGAAUUAACCAGUAAAAUGCGGUUAACAACAUAUUAAAGGAAAACUUAACAGACUUAACAGACGACAUAUUUCCAGCUAUUGAUUAUUGAUGAAAGGAAUCUGUACCUUUCUCUAAGUCUUCAUAUUGACAUUAAUUUAUAGUAAUUUUUUGUUUUAUUGACAUGAAUUCAAAAGUCUUAAAGUUUCUACAAACGAUGUGAAGAUGGUUUUCUGAUUUAAAGCCCAACAGUUCAAAGGUCGUGGAGAUUCCCGUAACUCGUCGUGUUGGUUGGCGGUCGGUCGGUACGGUGUUGAUGCUGCAGAGUUUAAAAGUUUAUAAAUGGUUAAUUCAUGACUGCCCUCCUUACAGAAACCGUCUUCAGGUUUAAUCACAAACACUUUUGUUCUUUACAUGAAGCAGUUAUGGUUACGAGGACGGAUGACGGCGUCCUGAUGUCUGAGGCUCGCCGAUAUUAAAGAGAUAAUUUCACGUGUGUGUGUGUGUGUGUGGGCCUCCUCCUGGGAGUCUCUCUGCACGCUCGUUCGCUCGCCCCUCUCUCUCUUUCUUUUGCUUUACAUACUGUACUUAACCAGCACUCUCUCUUUGCUUUAGUGGCUGCCACUUCCAAUCUCUCCUCUCCUCCCAUCCCUUCCCCCUUUUAACUCAUUCUGAAUUAUCCAUAGCCGCAUCGCUCCCUCACUUUUCCCCUCGCCAUCCCCCUCUUUCCUGUUCGCUCUCUCUCUCUCGCUCUGUCUCUCGUCCCCGUCUCUCUCCUCUCCUCUCAAUUUGCUUUAUGGCAGCCUUUCACUUUCUGCAUCCUCUCCUCUCAUCCCCCCAUCCUGCUCUCCCUCUCUCUCUCUCUGUUUCUCUAUGUCUCUCUCUUAGUGUAACUGUAGGAUAUAGGUCAGCAGGGCGGCUUGGCUGACUCGUGUCUAGACUCAGCCUCAGUCUUGGGGGCAUGCAGUCACACAGAGCAGCACAUUGACCAGCACAAUCACCGCAGCACACUGGAGCUCCAUUGACUGCCUGCCUGUGUGAGUGUGUGUGUGUCUGUGUGUGUGUGUUUCUGCUGUUUCACAAAAAGACACACACACUCAGAGGAAAAAAGCUGAGGGCAAAGUUCCUGUAAGGAGGCUCGGCGGCACGGCGGGCAUCACCGCAAACAUUAACGCCGUCAGUGAAGACAAACAGAGAGGUAGAAAUGUCAGCGUAAAUGCCACGAGUUUGGAGAUGAUAUUUACAGCAGGACCGGCGAACAGGACCGCGGGCCGGACCUUUAAAUCGAUCGGAGAUCUCCGAGUUUCAGAGCCGAUGAUGAAGGAGGAGCUUUAAUGAAAGAGAGUUAAUGUGACUUUCAAUCAAGUUUCCUUUGUGCGGCGAGAUAAACGUGAGAGAGAUGAGCUGAACAUUCGAUUGGACACAGUCUGUGUGUGUGUGUGUGUGUGUGUGUGUGUGUGUAAUCUGCAGUGUUACUGUGACUGUGGAGUGUGUGCAGAGGGGGGAGUCGGCGGCAGCUGGAUGGCGAUGGCUGCUGCUGCAGGGUGCAACACGCUGUGGGGAAGGGUAGAUGGGGUGACAGUGUGUGUGUGUGUGUGUGUGUGUGUGUGUGUGUGUGUGUGUGUGUGUGUGUGUGUGUGUGUGUGUGUGUGUGUGAGGGCCAUGAUUCAUUCAGAUGAGUCUGUGCUGCACCCUCCCCACCCUCGCUCUUCCUCUCGCUCGCUCGGUCUGUGGUCCAGAUGUGAUCCCCCCCUUUCUCCCUGGAUACUGAUUCAGACCCUCCACCCAGCCCCUCAGUCCAAUGAGGGUCUGGGUUCAGGAGGGGAGAUGAUGCUGCUGUGGGGGGGCUGGGGGGGGGGCACAUUAGCUGCAUUAGUCAGAUGAGCCUCAAAUCAUCAGGAGAUCGUGAAUAUUUCAGAGCGAGCAGCGACCUGCGUUUAGUCGACAUGGUGUUUUACAGAGUACUUCCUAAAUCCGGGUUAUCCUGGUCCAGCAGACUGUGGACCUCAGCGUAGACCGUCUUUAUGUACUCAAGACCGUUCACCAACAUGUUUGGAGUCAGGGUCAAAGUUCAGCAAACUUGGUAGGAAUGGAAAACUUGUUCUUUUAAAUCAAGGAGCUGAAAAAAAGACUUUUUCCAUGAUUGACUCCCUCUCUCUCUCUCUCUCUCUCUCUCUCUCACUCAGACGAUGGUCUAACAUCAGUCCAGUUCCGCUCGAGGUUUCUGCAAACCCACCGUAACACCGAGUUAGACCCCCCCUCCAGAGAUGAAUGUUGUCGACCGCUUGCUUCUCUAGUUAUACCAACUUUAGUAACGACCGCAGGAUAGAAAUACAGAGAGCCACGCCCCCAACCAAAACGCCACUCUAUAGCCACAAAUAAUGCUCAGAACAGCACCUAACUUCAUCAACAGGACAUAUAGGGUCACAGCCAUAGUACUAUAUUCAGAGUUGUUCUAACUCCUAAGAAAACAAACUUAAGCGGGGGCGUUUCUCCACUUCUGUAGUCUAUAAGCUGGGCUAAUAAACUUCUACUGUAGUAAAAUGAAAAGGUAAAGGUGUUUUUAUUGAGCCGAAUUAUCAAUAAAAUCAUGAUUUUGUUAACAGGUAUGGAUUUAUGUGCUGUCGAGUUAAUAUAUUUGAACAAGAGCACAGUAAAGUUAAAUCAGCUAAUUUUCCAAUGAGGUUCUGUUACUGAACGGAACUACACCAUGAUCUACUGAGGUUAGUACAUAUAGGGUCACAGACAUAGUACUAGACACCAAACAUCUUUCUAACUUUGACUCAUUUCUUUAGCAAAGAGACUAAACACAACUCACCUACUCUCUUCCAGCAGACGCUUGUUUGUAGAGAGACCUCAGGCCAGUCCAUUACGGACUACAGCGGGGUGCCGCAGCUCAAGGAAGAACAUUUAUGAUCAUUUCUUUAUCAUUUCCUUGAAGUAAUAAUCACCAUAUUAAUCAUUUUACAGACGCAGUAGUUCUUCUGUCUUAGCGUCUCGGUCUGAUUUUAUUUCCAUGAAGAAAUGAUCAUAAAUGUUCUUCCUCUCGACUUUAACCCUUUAAAUGCUGUGACGUGUUUGACUCCUGUGCUUGAUGAUGGGAUAAGUACGCUGGUGUUUUGCAGCUUCUCUGGAUCAUCUUCAGCUUUUUGAGUUUGAAUACAGAGAGGAGUAAAUAAGGAGGCGCAGCAUCAGAAUGAAUAAUGACUCCUCUCCUCUCCUCUACUCUGCUCCUUCUCUGUGCGAUUACGUCUUUCUUGUUAGUUGUUAGAAAUCUGUGUUUUUCAUGUAUUUUAUUAGAGUCCAGGAAUGACCACAGCAGCAUGACCUGCAGGUCUGGGUUUGGACUCCACAAACCCAGAUUGAUGCGGGUUAAAGCAGAAAGUCUCUCAUGUCGUUAAAUUCUCACCUCUGUCCUUUUUUUGUGAUCGUUGUAAAGUUUUAAACGAUUGUUCUCAGUCUGCCUGGUAACAGGAGCAGCUCCUGUCCUCCACACUGAAAUAUUGAUAGAUGAAUGGUAUCAGUGUGUGUGUGUGUGUGUGUGUGUGUGUGUUUCUCAGAGUGUUAUCCUGAUGUAGAGUGAGAGAAAGUGAGUCUUCUCUGGCUUUCAGAGGACCUGAACCUGCUCUGUGAUGUAGCUUCAUGUUACCGUCCUCCCAGCCCAUAAAUAAUGUCCCGUCCACCUCCCUCUGACUCCUCCUCUGGCUCCUCCUCUGGCUCCUCCUCUGACUCCUCCUCUCGCCCCUUCUCUGUCCUUUAGUUUCUUAUUUUUGUUUACUCCAGGUCUGAUAGAAAACAUA